UGCCUGAUGUCCGUUGUUCGG
rnacentral:piRNA from 1 species